rnacentral:rRNA from 1 species
CCUGAGAGGGCGACCGGCCACACUGGGCACUGAGACACGGCCCAGGACUCCUACGGGNAGGCAGCAGUGGGGAAUAUUGCACAAUGGGCGGAAGCCUGAUGCAGCGACGCCGCGUGAGGGAUGACGGCCUUCGGGUUGUAAACCUCUUUCAGCAGGGACGAAGCGAGAGUGACGGUACCUGCAGAAGAAGCACCGGCCAACUACGUGCCAGCAGCCGCGGUAAGACGUAGGGUGCGAGCGUUGUCCGGAUUUAUUGGGCGUAAAGAGCUCGUAGGCGGCUUGUCGCGUCGACCGUGAAAACUUGGGGCUCAACUCCAAGCCUGCGGUCGAUACGGGCAGGCUAGAGUUCGGUAGGGGAGACUGGAAUUCCUGGUG